AGAAAGUUUGAAAAAUAUGGUAAAUUUUGAGACUAGACAAACCUCAGAUUAACAAAACAUGUGAAGUUGUAAUAUCAUUUUAUACUAUAGCAUAUGCCUCAGAUUAAGAUUAAAGCAAAGUAGAUUGAAGAUUUAAUCUCAAUACUCUUCUAAAUAAUUGUUCUAUUUUGUUUUCCUUCUUGAAUUUUACAGCAUUCCUGAAUCCAAAACUUCUGACCUUGCUAAGAUGUUAUUAUUGCUACAAUACAAACACUGACAAUUUUCUUCAAAGACAUGUAAACAGUUUACAAUCUUAAACAGAUUUUCUUGUACAUAUUUUAACAAUAAUAUGGAUCACAUGGUACUGAGAGAUAAUUCAUAAUAAUAGUCUGCAUUCUUGGCAUUUCUCAUCAUUACAGGUAAAUCCAAACACUAAGGUUUUGUUUAUCUGAUGCAAGAACAAAUCAUUUCCGAAUUAAGUAUCAAUUCCUGAUAGAAAAUUUGGUUUACCAUGAAGCUAAUGAAAAUUGUCUCUAAAUGCACUCAAAAUAAUAUUUAAUGUAAAAAUCGGAUCAUACUGUGAGUCUGUGACCACAAUAUUGACUUGAAAUGUAAAUCAGCUGUUCAUUUUUGAUCAAUACAAAAGAUUCCUGCUAAAAUAAUUUUCACAUAAGCAAACCGUCAGUCUUGAAUAAUGCUAAAAGUUGUUCAUGUGAAAUAUUCCUAGUAUUUCCCUAAUAGACAGGUUGAUCUUGUUUGUUUUCAAGUUUUUAUACAUACUUGGUUUUCAAUUUUUGGGGUUUGAGUGUUCCUGAUGAAGGUUAAUCCAGAAAAGGGCUUUGGAUGUUCCUGAAGGUUAAUCCAGAAAAGGGCUUUGGAUGUUCCUGAAUGUUAAUCCAGAAAAGGGCUUUGGAUGUUCCUGAAGGUUAAUCUGGAAAAGGGCUUUGGAUGUUCCUGAUGAUGGUUAAUCCAGAAAAGGGCUUUGGAUGUUCCUGAAGGUUUAUCCAGAAAAGGGCUUUGGAUGUUCCUGAAUGUUAAUCCAGAAAAGGGCUUUGGAUGUUCCUGAUGACGGUUAAUCCAGAAAAGGGCUUUGGAUGUUCCUGAAGGUUAAUCCAGAAAAGGGCUUUGGAUGUUCCUGCUAAAGGUUAAUCCAGAAAAGGGCUUUGGAUGUUCCUGAUGAAGGUUAAUCCAGCAAAGAGCUUUGGAUGUUCCUGAUGAAGGUUAAUCCAGAAAAGGGCUUUGGAUGUUCCUGAUGAAGGUUAAUCCAGAAAAGGGCUUUGGAUGUUCCUGAUGAAGAUUAAUCCAGAAAAGGGCUUUGGAUGUUCCUGAUGAAGGUUAAUCCAGAAAAGGGCUUUGGAUGUUCCUGAAGGUUAAUCCAGAAAAGGGCUUUGGAUGUUCCUGAUGAAGGUUAAUCCAGAAAAGGGCUUUGGAUGUUCCUGAUGAAGGUUAAUCCAGAAAAGGGCUUUGGAUGUUCCUGAUGAAGAUUAAUCCAGAAAAGAGCUUUGGAUGUUCCUGAUGAAGGUUAAUCCAGAAAAGGGCUUUGGAUGUUCCUGAUGAAGGUUAAUCCAGAAAAGGGCUUUGGAUGUUCCUGAUGAAGGUUAAUCCAGAAAAGGGCUUUGGAUGUUCCUGAUGAAGGUUAAUCCAGAAAAGGGCUUUGGAUGUUCCUGAUGAAGAUUAAUCCAGAAAAGGGCUUUGGAUGUACACAUUUUUUAAUUAAGUGUUAUUUUCAUUCAGUGACAAUCAUAAUCAUAUGAGUUGGAAUAUUUUCAUAAUCCAAAUGAUAUAAAUAAAAGAAAUAUCAAAUAAAAUGUGUUUAAUAAAAAAAUUCUAGUCAACUCCCUCUAGAGAUAGAAUUAAGAAGAGAGAGACAUUCUAACACACUGAUACCAACACCCAUAUUCUAUUUCCUUUAGUUUUUACGAAUUCUUUGCAUUUAAAGAUUAAACAUAAUAACCCUGCCUAAAUCAUAUAUUGUUGAUUUUACCUCUACAAUUCUUAAAUUGCUAGCAAGCUCCAGUUUUUAGUAAUAAGACAUAUUAAGUAACAUCAGAAAACUGUCUCAGUAUUUCACAUAAUUGUAUGUAUAGACCUAAAUGCUACUUUGGCUUUUGCAACUCUUGACUGGAGUUUUUGCUGCACUGGACCCAUUGAAGUCUUACAGCAAUCAAUUUGGCUUUGUGGAAUCAGACAUUUUUGUCUAUUGAAGUCAAAAUGUUACAUGAAUAUUUGAUAUAUCCUCAUAGGCAGACAAAUAGUGGAUGAUACUGCAGUAUUGUCUUCCUUGGUUGAUACUGAUAAUUCACAUUCCAAAUUUAGUAAUAAAGAUUAAUGUGAGCUACAUUGUGUGAACAUUCAUAAUAUAAUUUGCUGUGAAAUAAUUUUAGUGUUCAUAAAGCAUUCAUGCAGGAACCUUAUACGAUUUUCAAAUGUGUACAUGCAAGUACACAUGAGUUCAGAUAUCAUCUUAUCCAAUAUAAAAAGAAUGUUGUGUAUACAACAAAAUAACUUACUUACAAAAAAAUAUUUUUGGGACCAAUAGAAUUCCAAUUGCAAUAUAAAAGUUAAGAUUUUUUAAAUAUAGUAAAAAUUGUCCUCUAGUCUAGCCUUUGAAUUAAAUACACAUUAAUUAUGUAACUUUUUCAAAAAGUUAAUUCCUUUGAAAAUUAUUCAUAUUCCCAUCAAUUAUCUUAUGAGCAAAUAAAAGCAACAAUAUUCCAUUAUACAUAUAUAUCAUUGAACAUGCUCCUCAUAAACCCUGAUCUAUAUAACUAAAUGACUAAGGUAGCCUGUAUACCGGUCCAGCUCUACUGGUA